UUGCACGCUGGCGGCAGGCCUAACCCAUGCCAGUCGAACGGUAACAGGAAGAAGCUUGCUUCUUUGCUGACGAGUGGCGGACGGGUGAGUAAUGUCUGGGAAACUGCCUGAUGGAGGGGGAUAACUACUGGAAACGGUAGCUAAUACCGCAUAACGUCGCAAGACCAAAAAGGGGGACCUUCGGGCCUCUUGCCAUCGGAUGUGCCCAGAUGGGAUUAGCUAGUAGGUGGGGUAACGGCUCACCUAGGCGACGAUCCCUAGCUGGUCUGGGAGGAUGACCAGCCACACUGGAACUGAGACACGGUCCAGACUCCUACGGGAGGCAGCAGUGGGGAAUAUUGCACAAUGGGCGCAAGCCUGAUGCAGCCAUGCCGCGUGUAUGAAGAAGGCCUUCGGGUUGUAAAGUACUUUCAGCGGGGAGGAAGGGAGUAAAGUUAAUACCUUUGCUCAUUGACGUUACCCGCAGAAGAAGCACCGGCUAACUCCGUG
rnacentral:rRNA from 1 species